rnacentral:rRNA from 1 species
CCGGUGUAAGGCAGACUUACCAUGCAAGUCGAGCGGGGGAGAUUGCUUCGGUAAUUGACCUAGCGGCGGACGGGUGAGUAAUACUUAGGAAUCUGCCUAUUAAUGGGGGACAACAUCUCGAAAGGGAUGCUAAUACCGCAUACGCCCUACGGGGGAAAGCAGGGGAUCACUUGUGACCUUGCGUUAAUAGAUGAGCCUAAGUCGGAUUAGCUAGUUGGUGGGGUAAAGGCCUACCAAGGCGACGAUCUGUAGCGGGUCUGAGAGGAUGAUCCGCCACACUGGGACUGAGACACGGCCCAGACUCCUACGGGAGGCAGCAGUGGGGAAUAUUGGACAAUGGGGGGAACCCUGAUCCAGCCAUGCCGCGUGUGUGAAGAAGGCCUUAUGGUUGUAAAGCACUUUAAGCGAGGAGGAGGCUCUUUUGGUUAAUACCCACGAUGAGUGGACGUUACUCGCAGAAUAAGCACCGGCUAACUCUGUGCCAGCAGCCGCGGUAAUACAGAGGGUGCGAGCGUUAAUCGGAUUUACUGGGCGUAAAGCGUGCGUAGGCGGCUUUUUAAGUCGGAUGUGAAAUCCCCGAGCUUAACUUGGGAAUUGCAUUCGAUACUGGGAAGCUAGAGUAUGGGAGAGGAUGGUAGAAUUCCAGGUGUAGCGGUGAAAUGCGUAGAGAUCUGGAGGAAUACCGAUGGCGAAGGCAGCCAUCUGGCCUAAUACUGACGCUGAGGUACGAAAGCAUGGGGAGCAAACAGGAUUAGAUACCCUGGUAGUCCAUGCCGUAAACGAUGUCUACUAGCCGUUGGGGCCUUUGAGGCUUUAGUGGCGCAGCUAACGCGAUAAGUAGACCGCCUGGGGAGUACGGUCGCAAGACUAAAACUCAAAUGAAUUGACGGGGGCCCGCACAAGCGGUGGAGCAUGUGGUUUAAUUCGAUGCAACGCGAAGAACCUUACCUGGUCUUGACAUAGUAAGAACUUUCCAGAGAUGGAUUGGUGCCUUCGGGAACUUACAUACAGGUGCUGCAUGGCUGUCGUCAGCUCGUGUCGUGAGAUGUGGGUUAAGUCCCGCACGAGCGCACCCUUUUCCUUAUUUGCCAGCACUUCGGUGGAACUUUAAGGAUACUGCCAGUGACAAACUGGAGGAAGGCGGGACGACGUCAAGUC